GACACUUUGGCCGAGUGGUUAAGGCGAUGCCCUGCGUAAGUUCCAACGAGCAAAACAAGGCUAGCCUUCAGUCGUCUAACAUCCAAACCAGUACUGCACACAGUUCCAAGGCAUUGGGUUCGCCCGCGCAGGUUCGAAUCCUGCAGGUGUCG
rfam:Purpureocillium lilacinum isolate PLFJ-1 scaffold00001, whole genome shotgun sequence.